UAUCCUAAAGCCUCUCUAGCAACUUGGAAACACGUUGGAUAUCAUUUAUUCUCUGGCCUCCACCUCUUCCGUCUUCCGUUCUUGCACCCGCCACAUCCUCUCCUUCCUCCCUUCUUUCCAUCUUUUUAACGUUGCCCCUUCAUGCUUAAAUCCUCCCUGCACAACCUCUCUCUCCACUCUUAAUCCAGUUACUAAUACUUCCGGAAAAAGGCUUCUGGUGAUAUUGGGAAUGUUGUUUUAAAUGGUAUACACUCAAACAAUGUGACAACUUCUAAAGUGCUUAAGCAGGAUGAAGAUAGACAGGAAUUACAGGGCGGAGACAGUUCAAAAUCUGGUGAACACCACAGGGAAGCUAAUACCACUAUCAUAUCAAGUAGGCCGACAACUACUGGGCCACUGCAAUGUGUUUGAUAAAAUGCCUGAAAAAGAAUAGGUUCAUUUUCUUCCAGUCACUGUGCUUUUGUUUUGCUUGCUUGGAAGGUGACUCUUAGUUUCGGCAUAAUGUGUCUUAGACUUUUUGAGCUACUUUACACUAGAAAACAUUUUAUUAGAACCAAUAGGUCUUCAGCUUUUUUCUUGAACUCCACAUUUUAUCACUCUUCAAAAGACGCUCUCAACUUGCAAUGGUAUCAGGAUGAGUUUCCCAAGGUGAAAGAGUUGACCGAUUUGCUAGCAAAUGUGGAUACAGUUAACGGGAGACUUGUUGAUGUAAACAGCAAUACAACCGUAUUUGAUGAUGGCUUUGAACGUGAAAUAUGUACCUUCAAGUCUCUUGUCCGUGUGUUUGUUGGGUCUCCAUUUGUUCAGCACAGGAUGAAACAUGUUUUGACCUCUUUUACCACAAGCACACAACAUGAAUCGUUUACCCCUUUUAGUAAAGUAAUUGAAACUUGAAAGAGAGCCUAUGGUGGUUGAUUCGUUGACCAAAGUGGGCAACUUUCUCAAUGUCUCUGCUCAACAAAGGAAUUUGGUUCGUUUAAGAGUGUGCCCACAGGUUACUCAGCAUUGCAUAUGGACUGGUGCACUAAAAGAAGUUCUGAAUGGUUUUGCAGUAGAUUUGAAUUGUUUGAGUUCUCGGGGCUUAAACAAUGGUGCUUUAUUGCGUGGCCAAAUUGGUCAAAGCUGCUUGAAGUUUCUUACUGAAAUUUUUGUCUGUUUGCACCCUGAGUCAUCUUCUUGGCUGAAGUUUUCUCCUUCUAAAAUAGUUGAUCGCUAUGAUCCUCGGAAAUGGGAAGAUGUUCUUGUAAUGUUCAAUGAUCUGACUGAAUGCUGUAGAAGUGAAAAUAUGUUGAAGUUGCAUGUGGCUAAGGCUGAGGUCAUGAAGGAGGGGCUUUUUCACAUUAGGGAUGUUUUAGUUGACAACAAUAUUGGAUAUAAGGAAGCUCAACAUCAAGAAAGCUUAGUGAAGAAGAAGCUUUCCAAAAUGUUGGGUCACUCGUCUCGUUGCUUAUUCACUCUAUUACUGUAUUACCUCUAGGGGAGGGUUGCAGAUAUCGAAGUAGACAUGUGUGGUGGGGUCUAUGUAGAUGGAAGUGAUGGCAAGUUUUGCUUGUUUAUGGGAAGAAUCUUGACUUCAGAUAGUGAGAAGACGCUGGGGUGUGGUGUGAAGCAGUUGGACUGAGCGCUUGGGAUUUUUAAGUUUGUGUGGGAAAUGGCUAGAAUGAAAGGACAUUUAGAUUUGCAGGGCCAUAUGUGGCGUGUUGGAGCAGACAAUAAGAUGCUUAGGUAUAGAGGAAACAUAUACUUCGUGCAUGGGAUUUUCCUUUUAUUAGAGAUUAUGUCACCACUUACUAUUUAUAUAAUCUUUUUGCUGCCUAUGGUUUUAGUUUGUAUGGUUUUACAAUUUCAAAUUACCAACAUCUUAAAUUGAUUUUGUUUUUGUUUUUGUUUUUCUUUUGGAGCUUGGACUUUUGCAACUACAAGUACACACUUCUUGAAGAUCUAGUUGUGAAAGAAAAAAAAAAUUCAAUUCCAGAACCUCAGCAGUUGGCAACAGAAAAUUUUUCUACACUAACAACUAAGGAAAGACUGGGAUCACACUCAACGCAUUGUAGAAUACCAAGUAAAAUCUUGGAAAAGAGAUCAUAAAGGAGGAUUGGGGAAAAUUGCAUGUACACAUUGCUUCAUACAACAACUUCCUUACUGCAGCAGGAUUGGCUUCUUCUGCUGCAGGUUUUGCCUGCCUUGGCCCUCUUACCGAAGGAAAAGAGGAUUCAUUAUCACGACUUUGUGGUGUAGAUAUUACAUAUAUGAAUAAUAGAGUUGAAUAUAAGAAAGACAAAAAAGAAAUAGCUCAAUAUGAAUUCUUGGAUGUAAUGUUACACAACUUUGAUUCUUGAAUUGAAGAUGAAUAAUUCCAGAGUUGCCAUUGAAUAUAACAAAGACAAAAAAUGGAAGUUAUCAUCAAGAAGAUUGGUGGAGUUCUUCUUGAUAAUAAUGUGCAGUUGUCUAAUUGCGAGAUUGUUGGACUUGCACCUCCUUGAUUUCUUUCAAUUCAUUGGGCUCAAGAUAAUGGUACUACAAGGAAGUUUUAUAAUUGUGAGUCUCGGUGGACCUAGACCUGCAUUAUGGGAGGAGGAAAACUCUUGAUGUGGUCUCACACAGUGUUAGAGAUUUGUUGAGAUCUUUCAAGAUAAUUGAGUGUGAAGCUGUCCUAUUGCACACAUGGAUGAUAUCUACUAGGGCGGUGAUGGAUAGUGAGAGCACAUCAAAGACAAGAAGAUAGUUCUUUAGGGACAGUGAGAGCAUAUCAAAGACAAGAAGUUUAAUUUCUUCUUUGAUAAAAUUGGUGGAUUUUUUGCAACUCCUUGAACUGAAGAUAAUGCUAUCUGCAAGGUACUUCUCUAAUUACGAGAUUGUUGGGUUAAUUUCAACUCCUCGGGCUCAAGAAAAUGCUAUGUACAAGAUAUUUCUCUAAUUGGGAGGUUAGUAUCUCUUUCGUUUAAGUAGGGCUUUGACCAUAAAAUUUGUCAUAAAUCGCUUGAAAUGUUUUUUUCCUGUUUCAAGACGGCAACUUACUAUUUAUUUAUAGACAACAUCAUGUCAUGUAUCAAUUAUGUUUUGCCGUCUGGACGGAGUGAUUUGCCCAAUUUAGCCUUCACUAGUGUUAAUUAAAUCUAAUCAAUACUCGAUCAAAAAGAUAAUUUUUCUAUCACAUGUAUCUUGUAAAUAUACUUGGAUUCAAUAAUUGAGGAUUUGAAUUUGCCAGAUUUGGGUGGGAUUUGAUGUAAUGCAUAUUCUAAAAUAGAAUUAUUUGAUAAAGUGACAAUAUAAUGAGCACAUUGUUAGAAUAGCUUGUUUAGGAAGUCUCUUAAUAUUUAAAUAUU